GGGCGAAAGCCUGAUGGAGCAACGCCGCGUGAGUGAAGAAGGAUUUCGGUUCGUAAAACUCUGUUGUAAGGGAAGAACAAGUACAGUAGUAACUGGCUGUACCUUGACGGUACCUUAUUAGAAAGCCACGGCUAACUACGUGCCAGCAGCCGCGGUAAUACAUAGGUGGCAAGCGUUGUCCGGAAUUAUUGGGCGUAAAGCGCGCGCAGGUGGUUUCUUAAGUCUGAUGUGAAAGCCCACGGCUCAACCGUGGAGGGUCAUUGGAAACUGGGAGACUUGAGUGCAGAAGAGGAUAGUGGAAUUCCAAGUGUAGCGGUGAAAUGCGUAGAGAUUUGGAGGAACACCAGUGGCGAAGGCGGCUAUCUGGUCUGUAACUAACACUGAGGCGCGAAAGCGUGGGGAGCAAACAGGAUUAGAUACCCUGGUAGUCCACGCCGUAAACGAUGAGUGCUAAGUGUUAAGGGGUUUCCGCCCCUUAGUGCUGCAGCUAACGCAUUAAGCACUCCGCCUGGGGAGUACGGUCGCAAGACUGAAACU
rnacentral:rRNA from 1 species